GAUGAAGAACGUAGCGAAAUGCGAUAAGUAAUGUGAAUUGCAGAAUCCAGUGAAUCAUCGAAUCUUUGAACGCACAUUGCGCCCGCCAGCAUUCUGGCGGGCAUGCCUGUCCGAGCGUCAUUUCAACCCUCAAGCACCGCUUGGCGUUGGGGCGCUACGCGCUGAGCGUAGGCCCUAAAAUCAGUGGCGGACCCGCCGUGGCUCCGGGCGUAGUAGCAACACCUCGCCCAGGGACCGCGGCGCCUUCCGGCCGUUAAACCCCCCACUAUAUCGAAGGUUGACCUCGGAUCAGGUAGGAAUACCCGCUGAACUUAAGCAUAUCAAUAAGCGGAGGA
rnacentral:misc_RNA from 1 species